GGAUUCCCCUAGUAACUGCGAGUGAAGCGGGAAAAGCUCAAAUUUAAAAUCUGGCGGUCUUUGGCCGUCCGAGUUGUAAUUUAGAGAAGCGUCUUCCGCGCCGGACCGUGCACAAGUCUCCUGGAAUGGAGCGUCAUAGAGGGUGAGAAUCCCGUCUUUGGCACGGAUGCCCGGUGCUUCUGUGAUGCGCUCUCGAAGAGUCGAGUUGUUUGGGAAUGCAGCUCAAAAUGGGUGGUGAACUCCAUCUAAAGCUAAAUAUUGGCGAGAGACCGAUAGCGAACAAGUACCGUGAGGGAAAGAUGAAAAGCACUUUGGAAAGAGAGUGAAACAGUACGUGAAAUUGUUGAAAGGGAAACGCUUGAAGUCAGUCGCGUCGACCGAGACUCAGCCUUGCCUCGGCUUGGUGUACUUCUCGGCCCGACGGGUCAGCGUCAAUUUUGCCCCUCGGAUAAUGGCAAGGGAAAGGUGGCACCUUUACGGGUGUGUUAUAGUCUCCUGUCGCAUGCGAGGGGUGGGAUUGAGGAACUCAGCGCGCACCUUGGUGUCGGGGCUUCGGCCCACGUCACGCGCUUAGGAUGCUGGCGUAAUGGCUUUAAACGACCCGUCUUGAAACACGGACCAAGGAGUCCAACACGCCCGCGAGUGUUCGGGUGGAAAACCCGUGCGCGUAAUGAAAGUGAAAGUUGGGACCUCUGUCGUGGAGGGCACCGACGCCCGGACCAGACCUUCUGUGACGGAUCUGCGGUAGAGCGUGUGUGUUGGGACCCGAAAGAUGGUGAACUAUGCCUGAAUAGGGUGAAGCCAGAGGAAACUCUGGUGGAGGCUCGUAGCGAUUCUGACGUGCAAAUCGAUCGUCAAAUUUGGGUA
rnacentral:rRNA from 1 species